CCGCUGGGGGCGCCGAAAGGCUGAGAUGGGCGGCUUACGCCCGGUCCCUUGGAACCUGACGUGGGUAAUCCCACCGUAGGGAAGCG
rnacentral:ncRNA from 1 species